rnacentral:tRNA from 1 species
GUGGAAGUAGCUCAGUGGUAGAGUUCCCGCUUCCUAUGCGGGAAAAUCUGGGUUCGAUUCCCGGUUGCUUUC